UUUAUAUAACGUUAAAAGAUGAGUUUGCGUAAGAUUAGGUAGUUGGUAGUUUAAUAGACUUACCAAGCCUGCAAUCUUUAGCUGGUUUGAAAGAACGAUCAGCCACAUUGGGACUGAGAAACGGCCCAAACUUUUUAAAAAAGGCAGCAGUGAGGAAUUUUGGACAAUGAGCGAAAGCUUGAUCCAGCAAUACCAAGUGAGUGAAGAAGGCUAAAUAGGUUGUAAAACUCUUUCGUUAAGGAGGAAAAUGACAGUACUUAAAGAAGAAGUUCUGGCUAAUACCCGUGCCAGCAGUCGCGGUAAUACGGGAAGAGCGAGCAUUAUUCAAAAUGAUUAGGCGUAAAGGGUUUGUAGGUUGUUUUUUAAGUUGAAAAGAAAAUAAUAAAGCUCAACUUUAUCUCUUUUUUCAAAACUAAAA
rnacentral:rRNA from 1 species